rnacentral:rRNA from 1 species
AUGGGGGGRACCUGAUCCAGCCAUGCCGCGUGUGUGAGAAGGCCUUUUGGUUGUAAAGCACUUUAAGCGAGGAGGAGGCUACUAGUACUAAUACUACUGGAUAGUGGACGUUACUCGCAGAAUAAGCACCGGCUAACUCUGUGCCAGCAGCCGCGGUAAUACARAGGGUGCGAGCGUUAAUCGGAUUUACUGGGCGUAAAGCGUGCGUAGGCGGCUGAUUAAGUCGGAUGUGAAAUCCCUGAGCUUAACUUAGGAAUUGCAUUCGAUACUGGUCAGCUAGAGUAUGGGAGAGGAUGGUAGAAUUCCAGGUGUAGCGGUGAAAUGCGUAGAGAUCUGGAGGAAUACCGAUGGCGAAGGCAGCCAUCUGGCCUAAUACUGACGCUGAGGUACGAAAGCAUGGGGAGCAAACAGGAUUAGAUACCCUGGUAGUCCAUGCCGUAAACGAUGUCUACUAGCCGUUGGGGCCUUUGAGGCUUUAGUGGCGCAGCUAACGCGAUAAGUAGACCGCCKGG